GACAGAGGGUGCGAACGUUGCUCGGAAUUACUGGGCGUAAAGCGCGUGUAGGCGGACUAGUAAGUCGGACGUGAAAUCCCUGGGCUCAACCCAGGAACUGCAUCCGAAACUAUUAGUCUGGAGUGGUGGAGAGGAAAGCAGAAUUCCUGGUGUAGAGGUGAAAUUCGUAGAUAUCAGGAGGAACACCGGUGGCGAAGGCGGCUUUCUGGACACUAACUGACGCUGAGACGCGAAAGCGUGGGGAGCAAACAGGAUUAGAUACCCUGGUAGUCCACGCCGUAAACGAUGAGUGCUGGGUGUCGCGGGUUUUGACCCCUGCGGUGCCGUAGCUAACGCGUUAAGCACUCCGCCUGGGGAGUACGGCCGCAAGGCUAAA
rnacentral:rRNA from 1 species